ensembl:lncRNA
CCUAACCCUGCUUUGUACUUCUCUACAACUAAAAUGUAUCUUGUGUGUGAAAUUUGUGUAUCUCUUUUAGGUGAAGGAAAGAAGAUUUUCCUGCUUCUAGCUCUCAUUACUGUCCUACUGACCAUUCUCCUUAUCAUCUCAGUAGUGCAUUACUCACAUUUUCAGCAGACACUGGGAGUGAUGGACCGACCAAUCACAAAUGAAGAAGUGUGGCACCUCCGUGCUGAUGUGUUCUAUUUGUUCUGGUAUGAGGGGGGUGACUGCAACGCUGCUGAAAGCUUCUGUAUCCGAAGAAAUGCUAGCAUUGCUACUGCAACUGAACAUAACAUGGCUUGGCUGCAGUCACAGACCAAUGGAAAGCAAAUACUGGUGAGAAGAGAUAAUUUCGACGGCUCUGGGAAUACUGACUCCCUCAUACAAAUGGAUGAAGAUGAUACAGAGUGUAACCUCCUGACCCAUGAACUUCAAAAACAGCAGGCAGAAGGAUGGGUGUGUGGAAGAGCAGCAAAAUGAUCAUCACAACUAAUAUUUUCAAUAUUAAUCCACAAUUCCAAAUCACAAAAAAAAACAUUUAAAUUUCCUAACAAAAAUUGUUAUCUAUAUAUUUUCAGAUCCAUGAAUUUAAAGCUACCGCAAAACUGCUGUUCAGAGUUUUAAGUUAAAUAGAUUUGAAUGUAUUAUUAUAAAUUGACCUGAAUUGUAUAAAUCUGAAAAUGCAUAUUUUAUUAAUCUGGAAAUUAUAUAUUUUUUUAUUUUCAAAUGUUUUUCAGCAAAUUGCACCACUUCCACUCCAAAAAAGCAUUUAAAUUAUAAUGAUAAAUCACGCCAUUAAAUUGUUAACCUCAAUAGAUCUAUAGUUACAUUAAACAGUAUAUUUAAAAAGCCAAUGUGGAGAGACCAGGUUUUAUCUAACGGUGGUGAUCAACUGAGCUGUAUGUUCGUAAAGCAUAUAUUUUAUUUGAUGUGUCCUCAGUACAGAAGGUGGAAGCAGGGUUCUGAGUGUUUAUAGAUGUGCAGGUAAAAAGAGGUGUGAAUAGUUUCUAAACUAAACUCAGAUUUCAUCUACAUUAUUGCAUUCUCUGCUUUACCAAAGUGAUAAAGAAAUUCUUGCUGAUUCGACAGACACUGAUAUUGUGACUAAUCCAUACAUCCAUAAAAUCCAUGUGCUAUUCAGCUUACUGGUAGUUAUCACUAAGAAACACAAUCAUUUCAAUUCACUUUUCCUCAAUUAUUCACUCCAAACAUUUCUAGUUUCUUGAAAAUUGCUCCCACCUGCAGGACGUUUUUUUUUUUAGUUUAGACUGGACUAUCUCAAAGAUGUGUUUUUGAGACAUCCUGUAGAGCAGUUAUUUUAAGCAGAUUUUCAUCAAAAGUUUAUCAUGGGUCACAAACUUCAAGCAGUUCCACUAACUAGCAUUAGUCUGUUCCGUGGCAACCAUUAGCUCCAGCUAAUAACAGCUAGCUAAAAUGGCAUAAUAAUUAACCUGCUUGCUGGAGAAAAGUUUGUAUGGAACUCUGUCUAAGCUUAAUUAAAUUCACCCAGAAUAAUCCAUUUACUUUGUGCAUCAGUGUUUUACAUGUAAUUGCUACAUUAUAAUGAGAAGUGUAUUUAAAAUGCAUAAAAAUGCUUUAUGAUGAUUAACUUUUACGUGAAAUAAACAAAAACAAAAUAAUAAAUAACA